AUUAUAAUGAUGAUACUUUUGAUAGGGACAUCUGAUGUCUAUGAUUGAUUUAUCACUUUUCAUUUGUAUAACUGAUCCA
rnacentral:snoRNA from 1 species